CUGAGGUUGCACAAUCCUGCAUUCUUAUAAAUACAGAUGCACUACAGCCUCUGGGAGUCUCUGCGGACCCAGCUGUGGAGAAAUUUUCUCCCCACUUCAGCAUCCGAGCCAGCCUGCAGGUCACCAUGAGGACUCCUUGCUUUCUGCUGCUCAUGUGCUGCCUCCUCCUCUCUCAGAUCUCACCCGGUACUGGCCUCCUCGCAGGUCUCCAGCAAAAAGCGGAUGAGACUGAAUGCAGUGAAAACGGAGGAUACUGUACCAUUUACAAUUGCCCUAACUUUUCCAAAUAUAUUGGUACCUGUUUCAGUGGGAAGGCCAAGUGCUGCAAAUGAGCUGAGAGAAAAAUGUGGGAGUCGUGAAGAAAGCUUUCAGUCACUGUUUUAACUUUAAAAAGAUUUAAUGAAAUCUUUUUGGAAGCAA